rnacentral:sRNA from 1 species
UAUAUAUAUAUAUAUAUAUAUAUAUAUAUAUAUUUCAAAUUAUUUCCUGGUAUUAAUAUAAAUUAAAGCAGGUCCUAUUUAUAUAUUUGUUUUAUUUCAAACUGUUUAUAUAAGUUUUAAUUUUAUAUAAAACGGCGCAUUUUUUACUGCAUUUACAAUUAGUAAAGACUGCGUAAAAUCACUAUUGCGGUUUUUUUUCAGCCCGGAUAAAUUUGCAAUAUUAAAUUAUAUAUUUAUAAUAUUAGUUAUUAUUUAAAUUCGGCACGUUUAUUACUUUGCGUUUCCGCAAAACGUACUUAUAAACUAUGAUUAUAAAGUAAGGUCUAAUACUUAUAAUAUCUUUUUAUACUUCAAUUUCCCAUUUAAACCGAUAUAAUAUUUAAAACAUUUAUUUAUGCAAAUGUAGUUCUAAUUUUAAACUCCGUUUUCAAACUUAACCGUAGCGUUAAAUAUUUAAUUAAUUGGGUGCCGUCUGGCAAAUUGCUAUUAUAAUUAUUAUAAUUUUGGAUUUUUUAUAUAUUAUAUAUUUUUAAUAUUUAUAACCAUUUUUGCCAUAUAAAUAAAUUUAACCCUCAAAAUAUUAUCGCGGUAUUAAUUAUAAGUACCAGUUUCUUGGUUUUCCUUGGUCAGGUUAUAUUAUUUGCGACGUUUUGAAAUAUUAAUAAUAAUUUUCCGCAAUUAAAUAACAAACUACAGUAAAAUAAUAUUUGUUUGAAAUUCUUAUCUAUUUUAUUUACAAUUUUAUUAAUUAAUAUCUGUUUAUAAAGUAUUGCUGUGAAUUAAAUGCAUUAUUUUAUAUAUAAUAAACCCAGUUUUAUUUGUAUAUAACCUAUAAUAAAUAUAUAAUUCCGAAAUGGGGUGGUUGGAAUUCUGUUAAUUUAUAAGAUGCAGGAGUUGCGGUUUAAAAGUUAAUAAAUGGAAUUAAUUACCUUAUA